rnacentral:rRNA from 1 species
UCUACCUGAUCUUGCCCGUAACAUAUGCUUGUCUCAAAGAUUAAGCCAUGGAUGUUUACGUACACCCAGCUGGUACAGUGAAAUUGUGAAUGGCUCAUUAAAUCAAUUUUGGUUCCUUUGGUUGCUUGCUCCUUUCCUGUUUGAAUAACUGGUAAUUGUAGAUAUAAUACAUCAUAAUAAGCACUAGCCCCAUUUGUUUGUGGGGUAGAUGUGAGCAUUUAUCAAAUCAAAACCCACCUGGACAAAUCAUCUUCCUCUUGGUCAGAGGUGAGCACCAGUGUCUUUGUUGAUCCCAGAUAACAUGCCCCAAUAUUGGCAAUGACCCCAUUCAACAAGCUUCCUUGUCAAAUUUCAGUGCUAUGUGUUGUGCCUACUUUGGUGACCACGGGUGAUGGAUGCUGGGAAAUCAGGGCUUGAUUCCUGAAAGGGAGGCUGAGGAAUGGGUACUACAUCCAAGGAAGGCAGCAGGUGUGCAAAUUACUCACUUCCAACCCAAAAAAGGAGUAACAAAAAUAAUACAGGAGACUUUUGAGGCCCUGUAAAUGGAAUGAUUACACUUAAAAUAUUUUUCUGAGGAUCCAUUGGAAGAAAAGUGUGGUGCCAGCAGCCACGGGAAUUCUAGCUCCAACAGUGUAUCUGUGGGGCCUAAAGUGUUUACUUUGGAAAAUCCUAUUCCAUCAUCCCCAGCUAUAGUAUCCAGACAGCUCAGGCCUGUUUUGAACUCUAACCUUGGUUCUGUGAGGUUGGUUUUUGGAAGUGAGGUCAUGAUUAAGAGAGACUGCCAGGGGCAUUUGUAUGGCACCACUAGAGGUGAAAAUUUUGGACUGCUGGAAGCUGGACCAGAAUAAGAACAUUUGCCAAGAAUAUUUUCAUUAAUGAAGAAUGAAAGUUGAUUCUAAGACAAUUGGAUAGUGUAAUUAUGACCAUAAAUGAUGCCAAUUGGCACUGUGAUAACAUUCCCGUGACCCACUGAGCUGCUUGUGGGAAACCAAAGUCUGGGUUCCACAGGGAGUAUGAUUGCAAAGCUGAAACUUUAAAGGAACUGAUGGAAGGGCACCACCAGGAACGGGAGCCUGUGGCUUAAUUUGACUCAGCAUGGGAUACCUCCAUUGGUCCAGACAUCGACAGGAUUGACAAACCAACAGCUCUGCCUUCAUGCCAUGGGUGAUGGUGUACGGUCAUUCUUAGUUGGUGGAGCCAUUUGUUAAUUUUGACAAUGAAUGGACUGGCAUGCUAACUAGUUAUGUGACCCACAAGUAUUCCUGUUUCCCAACCACUUAGAUGGACAAGUGGUAUUAGGCCCCUAAGAUAGAUCAAUAAUAGAUCAGCAAUGCCCCCCUUAUAUAUGUGGGCUUGCAGGUAUGCUUCAUUGAAUGGCUUAGUGUGUGCCUAGCAUAUGGCAGCAAGUCUAUGUAAAUUUUUGAAUCCCAUUUUGAUUGGUAUUGGGGAUUUCAGUUUUUCCUGAUGAACAAGGAAUUCCCAAUUGUGGUCGUAAGCUUGUCUUCAGUUCUUGUCUCUUGUAUACACCCCCUAUUGCUACUAACAAUUGAGUGGCUUGAUGAGGACCUUGCAUCAGCCCAACUGGUUUUGGCCCAUGACCCUGGUGGGUCUCUGAUAAAAAUGUUGAAUGUCAUUUAGAGGAAUAAUAGCAAACAUUUUCUAUAGGUGAACCUGUGGAGG